GGCGUGAUGGCCGAGAAGUUAGGCAGCGGCCUGCAAAGCCGCUUACCCCGGUGCAAUUCCGGGUCACGCCU
rnacentral:tRNA from 1 species